UACGUAGGGGGCGAGCGUUGUCCGGAAUUAUUGGGCGUAAAGAGCUUGUAGGCGGUUUGUCGCGUCUGCUGUGAAAUUUCGGGGCUCAACCCCGAACUUGCAGUGGGUACGGGCAGACUAGAGUGUGGUAGGGGAGACUGGAAUUCCUGGUGUAGCGGUGAAAUGCGCAGAUAUCAGGAGGAACACCGAUGGCGAAGGCAGGUCUCUGGGCCACUACUGACGCUGAGAAGCGAAAGCAUGGGGAGCAAACGGG
rnacentral:rRNA from 1 species